rnacentral:rRNA from 1 species
AGCGAACGCUGGUGGCAGGCCUAACACAUGCAAGUCGAACGAAGCCUUCGGGCUUAGUGGCGGACGGGUGAGUAACACGUGGGAACGUACCUUUUGGUUCGGAACAACUCAGGGAAACUUGAGCUAAUACCGGAUGAGCCCUUAGGGGGAAAGAUUUAUCGCCGAAAGAGCGGCCCGCGUUAGAUUAGCUAGUUGGUGAGGUAAAGGCUCACCAAGGCAACGAUCUAUAGCUGGUCUGAGAGGAUGAUCAGCCACACUGGGACUGAGACACGGCCCAGACUCCUACGGGAGGCAGCAGUGGGGAAUCUUGCGCAAUGGGCGAAAGCCUGACGCAGCCAUGCCGCGUGAAUGAUGAAGGUCUUAGGAUUGUAAAAUUCUUUUACCAGGGACGAUAAUGACGGUACCUGGAGAAAAAGCCCUGGCUAACUUCGUGCCAGCAGCCGCAGUAAAAC